GGCUUUAUAGUCAAUAAUAAUGAUAUUAGACUGCAAUUCUAAAGGAGUAGUUUUACUAAGGCUU
rnacentral:tRNA from 1 species